GACUGUUCCAGUGAUUCUGGGACACUGUUCGACCAACGGAAACAUCUCCACUGUAUCAACUCAAGAUAAUAACAGGUGCAAAGGAAAGCUGACGCACCUCGCCAUUUCUUUCAGAGAAAUAUGAUGACUACAGCAUACAUAUACAAAGGACCUUUAAGAAAGUCUUCUUAACAUGAUCGUUGUCAGCCUCUUACCUUCUACCUUCUUCUUUGCUGCUCCGCUUUGCAGUGUGUGGCCUCACCUCAAGCACUGGGUACAGUUUUGGGUGCCACAACAUAAGAAAGCCAUAAAACUGUGAGAGAGCAUCCAAAGGAGGACUAUGACGAUGGUGGGAGAUCUGGAGGGCAAGGUUCAAGGCACAUCGUGGCUGCAGAACUUGAUCUUGGGAAGCAGUGGAAGUUAGCGGGAAUAUCAGUGUGAACACUGAGGGAGUACAGUGAUCUGGCAAGGAGCUACAGCCCUUGAGUUACUCCAGCAAGAUGAGGAUGUCCCAUGCCUCCCAGCAACACAGGCUGCCAGGAGUGCAUCAAACCUCCAAAACUCUGUCCUGAGGAGUUGAGCCAGGUUCCAAGACUCCAUCAUUAUCUUCAAAGUGGUUUGCAGCAUGAACUGUAGACUUGGAAGUUUUAGUUGAAAGAUGGAGGAAAGCAGAAGGCUCCUCAACAAGAAGCAUGAUAAUUGGAUAACUUGUAUUUUUGUGCAUAUAUGCACAUUGUGCCUACAACAGGCUGCAGUUAUUCUGAAAAUAAAAGAAACU